rnacentral:rRNA from 1 species
GAUGAACGCUGGCGGCGUGCCUAAUACAUGCAAGUCGAGCGAACAGACGAGGAGCUUGCUCCUCUGACGUUAGCGGCGGACGGGUGAGUAACACGUGGAUAACCUACCUAUAAGACUGGGAUAACUUCGGGAAACCGGAUCUAAUACCGGAUAAUAUAUUGAACCGCAUGGUUCAAUAGUGAAAUACGGUUUUGCUGUCACUUAUAGAUGGAUCCGCGCCGCAUUAGCUAGUUGGUAAGGUAACGGCUUACCAAGGCAACGAUGCGUAGCCGACCUGAGAGGGAGAUCGGCCACACUGGAACUGAGAAACGGUCCAGACUCCUACGGGAGGCAGCAGUAGGGAAUCUUCCGCAAUGGGCGAAAGCCUGACGGAGCAACGCCGCGUGAGUGAUGAAGGUCUUCGGAUCGUAAAACUCUGUUAUUAGGGAAGAACAAAUGUGUAAGUAACUAUGCACGUAUUGACGGUACCUAAUCAGAAAGCCACGGCUAACUCCGUG